rnacentral:tRNA from 2 species
GCCCGAAUAGCUCAGGGGUAGAGCGUUUCCUUGGUAAGGAAAAGGUCUCGGGUUCAAAUCCCGAUUUGGGCUCCA